rnacentral:rRNA from 1 species
AGUGAACGCUGGCGGUAGGCCUAACACAUGCAAGUCGAACGGCGGCACAGUAAGAGCUUGCUCUUACGGGUGGCGAGUGGCGGACGGGUGAGGAAUACAUCGGAAUCUACUUUUUCGUGGGGGAUAACGUAGGGAAACUUACGCUAAUACCGCAUACGACCUACGGGCGAAAGCAGGGGAUCUUCGGACCUUGCGCGAUUGAAUGAGCCGAUGUCGGAUUAGCUAGUUGGCGGGGUAAAGGCCCACCAAGGCGACGAUCCGUAGCUGGUCUGAGAGGAUGAUCAGCCACACUGGAACUGAGACACGGUCCAGACUCCUACGGGAGGCAGCAGUGGGGAAUAUUGGACAAUGGGCGCAAGCCUGAUCCAGCCAUACCGCGUGGGUGAAGAAGGCCUUCGGGUUGUAAAGCCCUUUUGUUGGGAAAGAAAAGCAGCAGGUUAAUACCCCGCUGUUCUGACGGUACCCAAAGAAUAAGCACCGGCUAACUUCGU